GAUGAAGAACGUAGCGAAAUGCGAUAAGUAGUGUGAAUUGCAGAAUUCAGUGAAUCAUCGAAUCUUUGAACGCACAUUGCGCCCCUUGGUAUUCCAUGGGGCAUGCCUGUUCGAGCGUCAUUUGUACCUUCAAGCUCUGCUUGGUGUUGGGUGUUUGUCUCGCCUCUGCGUGUAGACUCGCCUCAAAACAAUUGGCAGCCGGCGUAUUGAUUUCGGAGCGCAGUACAUCUCGCGCUUUGCACUCAUAACGACGACGUCCAAAAGUACAUUUUUACACUCUUGACCUCGUAUCAGGUAGGGAUACCCGCUGAACUUAAGCUUAUCAAUAAGCGGAGGA
rnacentral:misc_RNA from 1 species